GUCAGAGUGAUACGAAGAGAACUCAGUCUACCACUGCUGGCUUUGAAGAUGGAAGAAUGGGGCUAUGAGCCCUGGAUUGCGGGCAGCCUGCAGAAGCUGGGGCAGAGAUUCCACACAGGCACCUCUAGAAAAUAAUGCAGCCAGCCAAUCCUUAGACUUUAUCCCAGUGAGAGUCAAGUUGGACUUCUGACCUACAAAAGAGAAACAGCUUUUCCUGCUUUGGCAUCAAAACCAUAUCAACAAAAGCCCAAACC
rnacentral:lncRNA from 1 species